rnacentral:tRNA from 1 species
GAACCUUUGGCACAGUGGUAGCGCGUGAGAUUCCAGAGCUUUCUCUUGGAGUAUCCUCAAGGUCGUCCGUUCAAUCCGGGCAAGGUUCA